rnacentral:tRNA from 1 species
GGGGUUGUGGCUCAGAGGUAGAGCGCUCGCCUCACACGUGCGAGACCCUGGGUUCAAUCCUCAGCACCACA